rnacentral:rRNA from 1 species
GACGAACGCUGGCGGCGUGCUUAACACAUGCAAGUCGAACGGAAAGGCCCUGCUUUUGUGGGGUGCUCGAGUGGCGAACGGGUGAGUAACACGUGAGUAACCUGCCCUUGACUUUGGGAUAACUUCAGGAAACUGGGGCUAAUACCGGAUAGGAGCUCCUGCUGCAUGGUGGGGGUUGGAAAGUUUCGGCGGUUGGGGAUGGACUCGCGGCUUAUCAGCUUGUUGGUGGGGUAGUGGCUUACCAAGGCUUUGACGGGUAGCCGGCCUGAGAGGGUGACCGGCCACAUUGGGACUGAGAUACGGCCCAGACUCCUACGGGAGGCAGCAGUGGGGAAUAUUGCACAAUGGGCGGAAGCCUGAUGCAGCAACGCCGCGUGCGGGAUGACGGCCUUCGGGUUGUAAACCGCUUUCGCCUGUGACGAAGCGUGAGUGACGGUAAUGGGUAAAGAAGCACCGGCUAACUACGUGCCAGCCGCCGCCGUAAAAC